rnacentral:lncRNA from 1 species
AGAAAUGAUCUUAAUAACUUUGUAAACUUUACCUCAAAAACUCUCCUACACUAAUCGCAUAUUCUAAUUCUCCCAAAAGCAAAUCUCAUUUCUAAAUGUAUAUAAUAAGACCGAACCUCCAACCGCUUGAUCAGCGGCUCAGGAUACCAACCUACUGCACUAAGCAGUAAUCACUACAAUAAAAAUGGUGUAUAGCUACACUUUUAAAUAUCGGUACAUAUCAAAAAAAGUGUUGCUGACUAAAUUAUCGACACUUUUUAAAAGUGUUAUUAUAUAUAGAAUCGCUAUAUAUGGGGUUGCUUGAUGUUUGGCACCCACUCCUUCAGCGACCUGUGGCGAAGGGACACAUGACGAUCGUAAUCCUCUAUGAUUCCUGCAAGAUCCUCGUGGCCGAACUCCAGCCGCUGGAACCUUACCUUGUCGAUUGCGGCGGCGGAGAAGGAGAAGAAGAGAUGGUGAUCAAUUUUUCUUUUUUUUCUUUUUUUAUUUGUAAUUGAGACGAGCGGGCUGGGUGGAAUUAGUUGAGUUGAACAACUUUUUUAUUUUUUAUUGGAUUAGGCUUUAUAUUUAAACUUUAUUAUAUUUUUUAAAAAAAUUUUGGCAUAAUUAGGACACUUAUACAAAAAUGUCUCAAAAAUAUGUUUUUAUAAUCUAAUUCUGUUGUAGUGAAUAAUGGUAACUCAAGCUAUUCAUAAAUAGCUCAAUUCCC